rnacentral:snRNA from 1 species
GAACGUGAGAGGAAUUUGGCUGUGACAUACGACACUCCAUGAUUACUGGGGUUGAUUCAUCUGAUAUGGGCCAUAGGAGGCCGUCCCCUUUCUCCCUCUCAUUUCCUCCACUUCUCUUUCAAAGUCUUGAGAUGAAAGAAGAUGAUCUACCCAGAUAGAAGAGACCUAUGCUUCAGUCAAGAGUAUAUGAAUGACUUUCAAAGAAUCUCUUUUUCUUUGAAAUCCUAGUAUAAGAAUAUGAACCAGGUUAUUUAUCAAUCGAUCACCUGGUCAUUGCCUGAUGAUUACCUGGCCAUGA